GUGCCAGCCGCCGCGGUAAUACGGAGGAUCCGAGCGUUAUCCGGAUUUAUUGGGUUUAAAGGGAGCGUAGAUGGAUGUUUAAGUCAGUUGUGAAAGUUUGCGGCUCAACCGUAAAAUUGCAGUUGAUACUGGAUAUCUUGAGUGCAGUUGAGGCAGGCGGAAUUCGUGGUGUAGCGGUGAAAUGCUUAGAUAUCACGAAGAACUCCGAUUGCGAAGGCAGCCUGCUAAGCUGCAACUGACAUUGAGGCUCGAAAGUGUGGGUAUCAAACAGGAUUAGAAACCCGAGUAGUCC
rnacentral:rRNA from 1 species